rnacentral:rRNA from 1 species
CCUGACGACCAUAGCGAGUUGGAACCACUCCUUCCCAUCCCGAACAGGACCGUGAAACGAUUCAGCGCCGAUGAUAGUUAGAUGUAUUUCUAGCGAAAGUAGGACAUUGUCAGGC